rnacentral:rRNA from 1 species
AUACGCGAAGACCUUACCUAGCCUUGACAUUGAUUGAAUACUUUAGAGAUAGAGUAGUGCCCUUCGGGGAACAUGAAAACAGGUGCUGCACGGCUGUCGUCAGCUCGUGUCGUGAGAUGUUGGGUUAAGUCCCGCAACGAGCGCAACCCUCGUCCUUAGUUACCAGCAGGUUAAGCUGGGCACUUUAAGGAGACUGCCUUCGCAAGGAGGAGGAAGGUGAGGACGACGUCAAGUCAUCAUGGCCCUUAUGGCUAGGGCUACACACGUGCUACAAUGGGGCGUACAGAGAGUUGCGAUACCGCGAGGUGGAGCCAAUCUCAUAAAGCGUCUCUCAGUUCGGAUUGAAGUCUGCAACUCGACUUCAUGAAGCUGGAAUCACUAGUAAUCGUAGAUCAGCAAUGCUACGGUGAAUACGUUCCCGGGUCUUGUACUCACCGCCCGUCU